GGCAACCUGCUCAGGUCCCCUUCCACGCCAUGGAAGCUUUGUUCUUUUGCUCUUUGCAAUAAAUCUUGCUGCUGUUCACUCUUUGGGUCCACAUGGCCUUUAUGAGCUGUAACACUCACCAUGAAGGUCUGCAGCUUCACUCCUGAAGCCAGUGAGAUCAUGGACCCCUGGGGAGGGACGAACAACUCCAGACGCGCCACCUUUAAGAGCUGUAACACUCACUGCGAAGGUCUGCAGCUUCACUCCUGAAGUCAGCGAGACCACAAACCCACCAGAAGGAAGAAACUCCAGACACAUCUGAACAUCUGAAGGAAUGAACUCUGGACACACAAUCUUUAAGAACUGUAACACUCACUGCGAGGGUCCAUGGCUUCAUUCUUGAAGUCAGCAAGACCAAGAACCCACUAAUUCUGGACACAUUUUGGCAGCCCAGAUGGGACUAUCGCCUAUCACCAAGCGAUGGGAAACACUCAGGCAUCAACAGGCUCACCCUUGAAAUGCAUCCUCAGCCAUUGGGACCAAUUUGACCCACAAACCCUGAAAAAGAAGCGGCUCAUUUUUUUCUGCACUACAGCUUGGCCCCAAUAUUCUCUCUCUGAUAGGGAAAAAUGGCCACCUGAGGGAAGUACAAAUUACAAUACUAUCCUGCAGCUUGACCUUUUCUGUAAGAGGGAAGGCAAAUGGAGUGAAAUACCUUAUGUCCAAGCUUUCUUUUCAUUGAAGGAGAAUACACAACUAUGCAAAGCUUGCAAUUUACAUCCCACAGGAGGACCUCUCAGCUUACCCCCAUAUACUAGACUCCCUAUAGCUCCCCUUCCUAUGAAUGAUAAUACUCCUCUAAUCUCCCCUGCCCAGAAGGAAAUAAGCAAAGAAAUCUCCAAAGGACCACAAACCCCCCCGGGCUAUCGGUUAUGUCCCCUUCAAGCUUGUAGGGGGAGGGGAAUUUGGCCCAACCCGGGUACAUGUCCCCUUCUCCCUCUCUGAUUUAAAGCAGAUCAAGGCAGACCUGGGGAAGUUUUCAGAUGAUCCUGGUAGGUACAUAAAUGUCCUACAGGGUCUAGGGCAAACCUUCAACCUCGCUUGGAGAGAUGUCAUGCUGCUGUUAGAUCAAACCCUGGCCUUUAAUGAAAACAAUGCAGCUUUAGCUGCAGCCCAAGAGUUUGGAGAUACUUGGUAUCUUAGUCAAGUAAAUGAUAAAAUGACAGCCGAAGAAAGUGAUAAAUUCCCUACCAGUCAGCAAGCUGUCCUCAAUAUGGAUCCCCACUGGGACCUUGAAUGAGAUCAUGGGGACUGGAGUCAUAAACAUCUGUUGACCUGUGUUCUAGAAGGACUAAGGAGAAUUAGGAAAAAGCCCAUGAAUUAUUCAAUGAUGUCCACCAUAACUCAGGGAAAGGAAGAAAAUCCUUCUGCCUUCCUUGAGCAGCUACAGGAGGCCUUAAGAAAAUAUACUCCCCUGUCUCCCGAAUCACUCGAGGGUCAACUGAUUCUAAAAGAUAAGUUUAUUACCCAAUCAGCCGCAGAUAUCAGGAGAAAGCUCCAAAAGCAAGCCCUGGGCCCUGAACAAAAUCUGGAGGCAUUAUUAAACCUGGCAACCUCAGUGUUCUAUAAUAGGGACCAAGACGAACAAGCCCAGAAGGAAAAGUGAGAUCAGAGAAAGGCUGCAGCCUUAGUCAUGGCCCUCAGACAAACAAACCUUGGUGGUUCAGAGAGGACAGAAAAUGAAGCAGGCCAAUCACCCGGUAGGGCUUGUUAUCAGUGUGGUUUAUUAGGACACUUUAAAAAAGAUUGUCCAAUGAGAAACAAGCUGCCCCCUCGUCCACGUCCACUAUGCCGAGGCAAUCACUGGAAGGUGCACUGCUCCAGAGGAUGAAGGUUCUCUGGGUCAGAAGCCCCCAACCAGAUGAUCCAACAACAGGAUUGAGGGUGCCCGGGGCAAGUGCCAGCUCAUGUCAUCACCUUCACUGAGCCCUGGGUACAGUUAACCACUGAGGGCCAGGAAAUUGACUUCCUCCUGGACACUGGCGCAGCCUUCUCAGUGUUAAUCUCAUGUCUUAGAUGACUGUCCUCAAGGUCCCUUACCAUCCAAGGAAUCCUGGGACAGCCUGUAACCAGGUAUUUCUCCCACCUCCUCAGUUGUAAUUGGGAGACUUUGCUCUUUUCACAUGCCUUUCUUGUUAUGCCUGAAAGUCCCACACCCUUAUUAGGGAGGGAUAUAUUAGCCAAGGCUGGAGCUAUUAUCUACAUGAAUAUGGGGAACAAGUUACCCAUUUGUUGUCCCCCUACUUGAGGAGGGAAUCAACCCUGAAGUCUGGGCAUUGAAAGGACAAUUUGGAAGGGCAAAAAAUGCCCGCCCAGUCCAAAUCAGACUGAAAGACCCCACCACUUUUCCUUAUCAAAGGCAAUAUCCCUUAAGACCUGAAGCUCAUAAAGGAUUACAGGAUAUUGUUAAACAUUUAAAAGCUCAAGGCUUAGUAAGGAAAUGCAGCAGUCCCUGCAACACCCCAAUUCUAGGAGUACAAAAACCGGUCAGUGGAGACUAGUGCAAGAUCUUAGACUCAUCAAUGAGGCAGUAAUUCCUCUAUAUCCAGUUGUACUCAACCCCUAUACCCUGCUCUCUCAAAUACCAGAGGAAGCAGAAUGGUUCACUGUUCUGGACCUCAAGGAUGUCUUCUGUAUUCCCCUGCACUCUGACUCCCAGUUUCUCUUUGCCUUUGAGGAUCCCACAGACCACACGUCCCAACUUAUGUGGACAGUCUUGCCCCAAGGGCUUAGGGAUAGCCCUCACCUGUUUGGUCAGGCACUGGCCCAAGAUCUAGGCCACUUCUGAAGUCCAGGCACUCUGGUCCUUCAGUAUUUGGAUGAUUUACUUUUGGCUACCAGUUCGGAAGCUUCAUGCCAGCAGGCUACUCUAGAUUUCUUGAACUUUCUAGCUAAUCAAGGGUACAAGUGUCUAGGUCGAAGGCCCAGCUUUGCCUAUAGCAGGUCAAAUAUCUAGGCCUAAUCUUAGCCAGAGGGACCAGGGCCCUCAGCAAGGAAUGAAUACAGCCUAUACUGGCUUAUCCUCACCCUAAGACAUUAAAACAGUUGCGGGGUUCCUUGAAAUCACUGGCUUUUGCUGACUAUGGAUCCCAGGAUACAGCAAGAUAGCCAGGCCCCUCUAUACUCUAAUCAAGGAGACCCAGAGAGCAAAUACUCAUCUAGUAGAAUGGGAACCAGAGGCAGAAACAGCCUUCAAAACCUUAAAGCAGGCCCUUGUACAAGCUCCAGCUUUAAGCCUUCCCAUAGGAGAAAACUUCUCUUUAUACAUCACAGAGAGAGUAGGGAUAGCUCUUUGAGUCCUUACUCAGACUCGUGGGACAACCCCACAACCAGUGGCAUACCUAAGUAAGGAAAUUGAUGUGGUAGCAAAAGGCUGGCCUCACUGUUUACAGGUAGUUGUGGUGGUGGCUGUCUUAGUGUCAGGAGCUGUCAAAAUAAUACAAAGAAAGGAUCUCACUAUCUGGACUACUCAUGAUGUAAAUGGCAUACUAGGUGCCAAAGGAAUUUUAUGGCUAUCAGACAACUGCCUACUUAGAUACCAAGCGCUACUCCUUGAGGGACUGGUGCUUCAAAUAGGUACGUGCAUGGCCCUCAACCCUGCCACUUUUCUCCCAGAGGAUGGGGAACCAAUCGAGCAUGACUGCCAACAAAUUAUAGUCCAGACUUAUGCCGCCCGAGAUGAUCUCUUAGAAGUCCCCUUAGCUAAUCCUGACCUUAACCUAUAUACCGAUGGAAGUUCAUUUGUGGAGAAUGGGGUAUGAAGGGCAGGUUAUGCCAUAGAUAAUGAUGUAACUGUACUUGAAAGUAAGUCUCUUCCCCCAGGGACCAGUGCCCAGUUAGCAGAAGUAGUGGCACUUACUUGAGCCUUAGAACUGGGAAAGGGAAAAAGAAUAAAUGUGUAUACAAAUAGCAAGUAUGCUUAUCUAAUCCUACAUGCUCAUGCUGCAAUAUGGAAAGAAAGGGAGUUCCUAACCUCUGGGGGAACCCCCAUUAAAUACCACAAAGAAAUUAUGGAGUUAUUGCACGCAGUGCAAAAACCCAAGGAGGUGGCAGUCUUACACUGCCGAAGCCAUCAAAAAGGGGAAGGAAAGGGGAGAACAGCAGCACAAGCAGCUGGCAGAGGCAGGGAAAGACCAGCAGAGAGAAAGAGAGAGACAGAGAGAGGAAGAGACAGACAGAAAGUCAAAGAGAGAAAGAAACAGACAGAGACAAACAGGGAGUGAGAAAGAGAAAGAGACAAAAAGUCAAAGAAAGAAGGAGAGAGGAAGAGACAAAGAGGGAGUCAGAAGGAGAGAGACAAAGAAGAAGUCAAAGAGAAAGAAAGAGAGAUGGAAGUAGUAAAUAAAAAACAGUGUACCCUAUUCCUUUAAAAGCCAGGGUAAAUUUAAAACCUACAAUUGAUAAUUGAAGGUCUUCUCUGUAACCUUAUAACACUCCAAUACCACCUCAUUGUCAGUGUAAACAAGGGCAUAGCCUGAAAGCACUGAGGCCACUGACAACCCAUAGCCUUCCUAUCAAAAAUCCUUAACCCAGCAGGUUUCCUAACAGGGGAUCUAAAUCUUAACUAAUUACCAUACAAAGGUCCAACCAGCUCUAGGAGGAACUCCCUUCAGGACAGGACAAUAGAUGGUUCCUCACAGGCGAUUAAGGGAAAAAGACAUGAUGCGUAUUAAGUAGGUGAUAAGGAAACUCUUGUAGAAGCAGAGUUAGGAAAAUUGCCUGAUAAUUGGUCUGCUCAAAUGUGUGAGCUGUUUGCACUCAGCCAAACCUUAAAGUACUUACAGAAUCAGGAAGGAGCCAUCUAUACCAAUUUUAAGUUAAUAUGGACUGAACGAGGUAUUAUUAAUAGCAGAGAGUAAUUGAAAUCCCAAACUUACAAGGUUUUCAACAAAAGUAGUUUGCUAAAAGUUAACAGUGUAAACAUAUAUUAUCCUAACUUCUAAUCUUGUGGAAAUCAGACCUUAUCAGUAAUCCUCAAAGCUCAAGUUCGUCAGCACAGAGCCAUACAACUAAUACCCCUACUUAUAGGGUUAGGAAUGGCAACUGCUACAGGAACCGGAAUAGCCAGUUUAUCUACUUCAUUAUCCUACUACCACACACUCUCAAAGGAUUUCUCAGACAGUUUGCAAGAGAUAACGAAAUCUAUCCUUACUCUACAAUCCCAAAUAGACUCUUUAGCAGCAGUGACUCUCCAAAACUGCUGAGGCCUAGACCUCCUCACUGCUGAGGAAGGAGGACUCUGCACCUUCUUAGGGGAAGAGUGUUGUUUUUACACGAACCAAUCAGGGAUAGUAAGAGAUGCUGCCCGGUGUUUACAGGAAAAGGCUUCUGAAAUCAGACAAUGCCUUUCAAACUCUUAUACCAACCUCUGGAGUUGGGCAACAUGGCUUCUCCCCUUUCUAGGUCCCAUGGCAGCUAUCUUGCUGUUACUUGCCUUUGGGCCCUGUAUUUUUAACCUUCUGGUCAAAUUUGUUUCCUCUAGAAUCGAGGCCAUCAAGCUACAGAUGGUCUUACAAAUGGAACCCCAAAUGAGCUCAACUAACAACUUCUACUGAGGACCCCUGGACCGACCUGCUGGUCCUUCCACUGGCCUAAAGAGUUCCUCUCUGGAGGACACUACAACUGCAGGGCACCUUCUUUGCCACUAUCCAGCAGGAAGUAGCUAGAGCAGUCAUUGCCACUAUCCAGCAGGAAGUAGCUAGAGCAGUCAUUGGCCAAAUUCCCAACAGCAGUUGGGGUGUCCUGUUUAGAGGGGUGAUUGAGAGGUGACAACGUGCCAGCAGCCCUUGCUCGCUCUCAGCACCUCCUCGGCCUCGGCGUCCACUCUGGCCCCACUUGAGGAGCCCUUCAGCCCACCGCUACACUGUGGGAGCCCCUCUCUGGGCUGGCCAAGGCUGGAGCCGGCUCCCUCUGCUUGCGGGGAGGUGUGGAGGGAGAGGCACAGGUGGGAACCGAGGCUGCGCACAGCGCUCGCAGGCCAGCAUGAGUUCCAGGUGGGCGCUGGCUUGGCAGGCCCUGCAAUCAGAGUGGCCGGCCGGUGCCGUCAGCCCCGGGCAGUGAGGGGCUUAGCACCUGGGUCAGCAGCUGCGGAGGGUGCUCCGGGUCCCCCAGCACUGCCGGCCUGCCCGCGCCAUGCUCGAAUUCUCGCCAGGCCUCAGCCGCCUCCCUGUGGGGCAGGGCUUGGGACCUGCAGCCCGCCAUGCCAGAGCCUCCCCCCCGCCCUGAUCCCCCCCCACGCCCAUGGGCUCCCCUGCAGCCUGAGCCUCCCCAACGGGCACGGCCCCCUGCUCCAUGGCAACCAGUCCCGUCACCACCCAAGGGCUGAGGAGUGCAGGUGCAGGGCAUGGGACUGGCGAGGAGCUCCACCCACAGCCCUGGCGCAGGAUCCACUAGGCAAAGCCAGCUGGGCUCCUGAGUCAGGUGGGGACUUGGAGAACUUUUAUGUCUAGCUGGAAGAUUGUAAAUGCACCAAUCAGCACCCUGUAUCUAGCUCAAGGUUUGUAAACGCACCAAUCAGUGCUCUGUGUCUAGCUAAUCUAGUGGAGACUUGGAGAACUUUUAUGUCUAGCUGGAAAAUUGUAAAUGCACCAAUCAGCACUUUGUGUUUAGCUCAAGGUUUGUAAACGCACCAGUCAGCACCCUGUUAAAGUGGGCCAAUCAGCUCUCUGUAAAACGGGCCAAUCAGCUCUCUGUAAAACAGAUCAAUCAGCAGGAUGUGGGUGGGGUCAGAUAAGGGAAUAAAAGCAGGCUGCCUGAGCCAGCAGUGGUGACCCGCUGGGGUCCUCUUCCACACUGUGGAAGCUUUGUUUCUUCACUCUUCACAAUAAAUCUUGCUGCUGCUCACUCUUUGGGUCCGCGUGGCCUUUAUGAGCUGUAACACGCACCACGAAGGUCUGCAGCUUCACUCCUGAAGUCAGCGAGACCACGAACCCACCAGAAGGAAGAAACUCCGGACACAUCUGAACAUCUAAAGGAACAAACUCUGGACACACCAUCUUUAAGAACUGUAACACUCACUGCAAGGGUCUGCGGCUUCAUUUUUGAAGUCAGCGAGACCAAGAACCCACUAAUUCUGGACACAGCAGCUACUUGGGAGGCUGACGUAGGAGAAUCCCUUGAACCUGGGAGGUGGAGGUUGCAGUGAGCUGAGAUUGCAUCACUGCAAUCCAGCCUGGAGACAGAGCAAGACUAAGUCUCAAAAAAACAAAACAAAACAAAAAACAAACAAACCCAAAGUCUUACUAUGGCAUCAAAGAAGAAUAAAUUCUGAAUGAUGAGA